UACAGAGGUCCCAAGCGUUGUUCGGAUUCAUUGGGCGUAAAGGGUGUGUAGGUGGCGCCGUAAGUCGGGUGUGAAAUUUCGGAGCUUAACUCCGAAACUGCAUUCGAUACUGCGGUGCUUGAGGACUGGAGAGGAGACUGGAAUUCAUGGUGUAGCAGUGAGAUGCGUAGAGAUCAUGAGGAAGACCAGUGGCGAAGGCGGGUCUCUGGACAGUUCCUGACACUGAGACACGAAGGCCAGGGGAGCAAACGGG
rnacentral:rRNA from 1 species